rnacentral:rRNA from 1 species
AUGGCCUCGCGGCUGGCAGGGAGCUCCGGCGCGGCGAAGAAAGGGCGUUCGCCGGGGGCGGGGCAAGGUGGAAGGCAGCGCGGCCCCUCCCGGCGGAUCGAAGGUGGUGCAUUGGGGAAUGGAGUGAGCAUGGGCGGCAUCGACUUGGCCAAUGAUGAUGUGAAGUGCGGCCAACGACGACUUGCAGUACGACCAAUGAUGGCGUGCAGUGUCGCCACCAGCAGCACCUCAGACGUGGGGGCCACGCCGUGCUCCUCCAGUCUGCCGGAGACGCGAAAGGAGCAGCUCCUCUGCCAACGGUAG